rnacentral:rRNA from 1 species
UCCUACGGGAGGCAGCAGUAAGGAAUAUUGCGCAAUGGGCGAAAGCCCGACGCAGCGACGCCGCGUGGGGGAUGAAGGUCUUCGGAUUGUAAACCCCUUUGGGGAGGGAAGAUGGAGCGAGCAGAUCGAUCGGACGGUACUCCAGAAGA